rnacentral:lncRNA from 1 species
UUCUGUAAGUAAAUUUUAUUUAUUUUAACAGCAUUUAAUUUUCUCAAUUCACCGCCUUGCACCUUCCAAGUCAAAAUGUAAAUUUGUCAAUAUAUAUUUAACUGAGAAAGUUAAAGAACAUUCGCUGCUAUUAGUGAAGAUUUUCCAUUACCUUGCUCUGCAAUUAAAAGAAAAUACUUUUUUUCACCAGAAGUUGCAAACUCCAUGAUAUUGCUGAUUUCCUUCUCUCGGCCGACCAACAGUGAGCAACUUGUCAACUUGUAACUCUCAUUAAAAAGAGAAUUGCAAGCAAAUAACAAUUGUUACCCAAUCCUUUUCUCUUUUUUAAAAAUUUGAUACUUUUGAUUCUGCCUAUUUUUCUUUCAUUUUCUUUAAUUUUUUUAAGACUAAUAAUAUACUAAUAAUAGUACUAAUAAUAUUAACCAAAUUUUAUAGAAUAUAAUCGCACUACAAAAUAUUUCUCAAAAUUGACUAUUUUUAAAAUAAAAUAUUAAAUAAUUAUGAUCUCCUUUUUUUUUUUUUUUUAAAUAUUUUUUUUCAAUAUAUCAAUUUAUAUAUUUGAAAACAAUUUUAUAUUUAAACUUACGUUAACUUUAUUUGUAAUGUUUAUAUAAGUGGGCGCUGCCCGGAAAUAAGUGCAAAGAGAAAAACAAAAAAAUAAUAUGUCUUUCAAUAUAACUAAAAUAUAGAAAAAUUCGCUAGUUGUUAUAAUGAAUUUAUUAGAUAAAUGUUAUACGUGUAUUUAAUCUUUAAUAAAGCGUUUAAAAACCUAUUUUUCUAAACUUUCAAUAACCUUUUCAUAAUAUAAGUGUAGAGUAAAACUUUCUGUAAAAUAAAUCCAAAACAUCAUCAAAACAAUGUUUAAAACGAGAUUUUAGGUUUUUUUAUGAAACAUUUUCAAAACAAAUUUUCUUUUUUUGUUACUUUUAAUGGUUUUGAGUUACUGUGUGCCGCCAAAUUCCCUUAAAAUAAUUAAGAAAAAAAUAAAUAAGAAGAACAAAAAAGAGGUUGUCCCUAUAAAUUGUUAUAUUUUAAAAUCUUUUUAACUGUCGAACAACUGCUUUUGUUUUAUUAAACUCUUGAGACAUAAAUGCAACCAAGCAAAUUUAAACGAUCAUCAUAAAAUCGUAUUGAAUUUAGACUCAAUAAAAAAAAAUUGUACAAUAAAAUACGAGCAAAUACAUUUAAGUGGUGAAUUCUGAAAGAGCGUUUGGAAAGAGUAUAAUGGCGUUUGAAGUAUUUGUAGCUUGAACUACUAAAGUAACUUUCAACAUUUGUUUAAUAAAUACUAAAAUUAAUUUUUAUUGCAGAGUUUAUUAUAAAUACCAUUGGAAUUAUUAAUUAUUUAGUUAGUUAUCAAAGAAUUUGGUGAGCGGGUUUUAUUUAGUUAGUUAUUAAAGAAUUUGGUAAGCGGGUUUUUUAUUAGAAUUAAGGCCAUGAAAAAUUAGUUUAAAAUUUUAAUUUAAUGUGUUAAUUACUUUAUUAUCUGCGCGAAUCUGGGCAAUUAAUAAAACAAUUAGGUCAAAUAACAAAAAUUAACUCAUCUAGCUCGUUUUAUCUUUUAUAAUUUUAUUUGCAAAACCUAGUAGAGGUUUUGUGAAGGUUUUUAGGGACCCUAUUAUUACAUUUUUAUAUUUUUUUUAGGAGCGUGAACUUGUUAAAUGCUUUUCCAUGGUAUACUAUAACAAGACCGCUAUUGUUGCUGCGCACUGUUUCUCGACAUGAAAAGCGUAGAAAUAUUUUGUAUACUUUCUAUGUAAUUCUUGCCAAGAAGUCCACAAAGCAAUUAGCUGGCGGUCUACUGAAAUACAAAUCCGAAAAAAAUUUUAUUUUACAAAUUUGCUCCAAUAUACAUUACAAAUUUGCUUUAAUAUAUGUUGUGAUUUAAUAUAUUUGUGAUUUAAUAUAUAUGAUUUAAUAUAAUUAGUAUAUGUGGUUCUGAUGUUCUUCUUAAGAUAAUUUUGUUUUUUA